AAGCUUCCACUUCGCUGUUCAGUCCGUCAAGUCAAGCCGACGAGAAAGUUCGUAGAAAGAGGUAACGA
rnacentral:sRNA from 1 species